rnacentral:rRNA from 1 species
ACAAGCGGUGGAUGAUGUGGUUUAAUUCGAUGCAACGCGAAAAACCUUACCCACCUUUGACAUGUACGGAACCCUUUAGAGAUAGAGGGGUGCUCGAAAGAGAGCCGUAACACAGGUGCUGCAUGGCUGUCGUCAGCUCGUGUCGUGAGAUGUUGGGUUAAGUCCCGCAACGAGCGCAACCCUUGUCAUUAGUUGCUACAUUCAGUUGGGCACUCUAAUGAGACUGCCGGUGACAAGCCGGAGGAAGUGGGGAUGACGUCAAGUCCUCAUGGCCCUUAUAGGUGGGGCUACACACGUCAUACAAUGGCUGGUACAAAGGGUUGCCAACCCGCGAGGGGGAGCCAAUCCCAUAAAGCCAGUCGUAGUCCGGAUCGUAGUCUGCAACUCGACUACGUGAAGUCGGAAUCGCUAGUAAUCGUGGAUCAGAAUGUCACGGUGAAUACGUUCCCGGGUCUU